UUGAAUGGCCGCGGUAUUUUGACCGUGCUAAGGUAGCAUAAUCAUUAGUUUUUUAAUUGAAAGCUGGAAUGAAGGGCUGAAUGAAAAAAAGACUGUCUCUUUUUAAUUAUUUUAAAAUUUUAUUUUUAAGUUAAAAAGCUUAAAUAUUAUUAAAAGACGAGAAGACCCUAUAGAGUUUUAUAAUUUUAAUUUAUAUAAAUUUUAGUAUUAAAUUUUUAAUUUUUUAAAAUUAUUUAAUUGGGGUGAUUAAAAAAUUUAAUUAACUUUUUUUAUAUAUUUAUAUUAAUUAAUAAGUAAUUGAUCCAAAGAUUUUGAUUAAAAGAUUAAAUUACCUUAGGGAUAACAGCGUAAUUUUAUUUAAGAGUU
rnacentral:rRNA from 1 species